rnacentral:rRNA from 1 species
UGGGGAAUAUUGCACAAUGGAGGGAACUCUGAUGCAGCGACGCCGCGUGAACGAAGAAGGCUUUCGAGUCGUAAAGUUCUUUUAUAUGGGAAGAUAAUGACGGUACCAUAAGAAAAAACCCCGGCUAAAUACGUGCCAGCAGCCGCGGUAAUACGUAUGGGGCGAGCGUUGUCCGGAAUUAUUGGGCGUAAAGGGUACGUAGGCGGUCUAUUAAGUCAGGUGUGAAAGCGUGAGGCUUAACCUCAUUAAGCACUUGAAACUGAUAGACUUGAGUGAAGGAGAGGAAAGUGGAAUUCCUAGUGUAGCGGUGAAAUGCGUAGAUAUUAGGAGGAAUACCGGUGGCGAAGGCGACUUUCUGGACUUUUACUGACGCUCAGGUACGAAAGCGUGGGGAGCAAACAGG